CCUACGGGAGGCAGCAGUGGGGAAUAUUGGGCAAUGGGCGCAAGCCUGACCCAGCAACGCCGCGUGAAGGAAGAAGGCUUUCGGGUUGUAAACUUCUUUUCUCAGGGACGAAGCAAGUGACGGUACCUGAGGAAUAAGCCACGGCUAACUACGUGCCAGCAGCCGCGGUAAUACGUAGGUGGCAAGUGUUAUCCGGAUUUACUGGGUGUAAAGGGAGUGUAGGCGGGAAAGCAAGUCAGAUGUGAAAACCAUGGGCUCAACCUGUGGCCUGCAUUUGAAACUGUUUUUCUUGAGUACUGGAGAGGCAGACGGAAUUCCUAGUGUAGCGGUGAAAUGCGUAGAUAUUAGGAGGAACACCAGUGGCGAAGGCGGUCUGCUGGACAGCAACGGACGCUGAGGCGCGAAAGCGUGGGGAGCAAACAGGAUUAGAUACCCUUGUAGUC
rnacentral:rRNA from 1 species